AUGAACGCUAGCGGCAAGGCUUAACACAUGCAAGUCGAGGGCAGCAUGAGACGGAGAUUCGUCAAAGUCUUGAUGGCGACCGGCGCAAGGGUGCGUAACGCGUGAGCAACUUGCCCGUUUCUGGGGAAUAACCGGUGGAAACGCCGACUAAUACCCCAUGGCAUCAAUGAGAGGCAUCUCUUAUUGAUUAAAGAAUUUCGGAAACGGAUAGGCUCGCGUGACAUUAGCUAGAUGGCGGGGUAACGGCCACCAUGGCGACGAUGUCUAGGGGUUCUGAGAGGAAGGUCCCCCACACUGGAACUGAGACACGGUCCAGACUCCUACGGGAGGCAGCAGUGAGGAAUAUUGGUCAAUGGUCUGACGACUGAACCAGCCAUGCCGCGUGAAGGUGACGGCCCUAUGGGUCUUAAACUUCUUUUGUAAGGGAGCAAUAAGUCUCACGUGUGGGAUGAUGAGAGUACCUUACGAAUAAGCAUCGGCUAACUCCGUG
rnacentral:rRNA from 1 species